AGGGACUAGAAGGAAAUAUGGUUGUUGUAUUUCAGCAGGUUAGGUGGUGAUGAGGAAUGAGCCACAGCUGAACAGUGCAAGCCAGGCAGUCUGUGGAGGGAGGCUGAGCUCGUGGCCUGGGAGAUAUUGUUUUUGCCAGCUUUGGUCAGUUAGUAACAAUUGUUUGGAAUGUGGGUGGAACAGGUCCCAGUGCAUUUUCCUCUCCCCUCCUGGUGUGAGAGAGGAGCUGCAACGUGAGCCAGCUGCCACCUUUUGGCAUGAGUAGCAGUGUAUCCCCAGUCUUCCCAGCACAGCCUUGCCAGUCACCCCUCCAUCUCCCAUUUCUGAGUGACGUUUCUUCUUGAGAUGUAAAACCUGCUCAUCAGCCCAUGCAACUUGAUUGCUAUUAAGGCAACAGGGAGCCGUGCUGAGCUGCAUCUCCUGAGGAGCCAGCCCCUGCUGCUAGUAUAUUUAAGUGAUGCAAAUGUUCAAAGUGGUUGACUUUA